AACGAACGCUGGCGGCAGGCCUAACACAUGCAAGUCGAACGCUCGUAGCAAUACGGGAGUGGCAGACGGGUGAGUAACACGUGGGAACCUUCCCUAUGGUUCGGAAUAGCUCAGGGAAACUUGGGGUAAUACCGGAUAAGCCCUUCGGGGGAAAGGAUUUAUCGCCAUUGGAUGGGCCCGCGUCGGAUUAGCUAGUUGGUGAGGUAACGGCUCACCAAGGCAACGAUCCGUAGCUGGUCUGAGAGGAUGAUCAGCCACACUGGGACUGAGACACGGCCCAGACUCCUACGGGAGGCAGCAAUGGGGAAUAUUGGACAAUGGGCGCAAGCCUGAUCCAGCCAUGCCGCGUGAGUGACGAAGGUCUUCGGAUUGUAAACUCUUUUGGCGGGGACGAUAAUGACGGUACCCGCAGAAUAAGCCCCGGCUAACUUCGUGCCAGCAGCCGCCGU
rnacentral:rRNA from 1 species